AGGGCUAUAGUUUAUAGAGAAUGUUUGGUUUGCAUUCAAAAGGUACUUUAGUUGGCCCUG
rnacentral:tRNA from 1 species